rnacentral:lncRNA from 1 species
AACCACCAAGGUUCGGGAACCGGUCUCUCAUCACAGGGGACCGGUUGCAUCAGGAAUUACGCAGUGAGGACCUUGGGGGAACCGGUCUCUCCAUUUCAGAGACCGGUCCCAGAACACAAGAAAGUUCAGUAAAUAUGUUUAAAAACAAUCUAAGCCUUCUGAACUUAUUUUAAUCACGUAACUUCACCACAAAUGAUUUUUUCUACAUACCUUAGGUGUCGAUCUUUCUGAAUAAGUCUUUGUCCUCUAAUUUGAAUCUUUUCUCGAAAUCUUCUGCGAUCAACUCUUCAAGACUCCAAACAACUUUACGAAAUUCGCCAACCUAUAAAAUCCUUAACACCCACUAGAAACUAUUUAUUAAUAGUUCUCAUACCCUCUGUGUUGUUGUUUUUAUUUCAGAGCCUUCCACCCCAGGAGAGGCUAGGGACCGCGGCAAGGGUGUCGCGACUAGCUAGAGUGCGAGGAGUUCUACGCUAGGUGGUUGACUCUCUAUUUUUGUUUUUAUU